rnacentral:lncRNA from 1 species
CGGGCCAUCAGUUUCGGCGUUUUUUCCAGAGAGGCAGGCUCACAGCGAUAUCGCGAGAGACGACAGGGAAUUGCUCUGUCACGCAAGCUGGAGUGCAGUGGUGCCAUCUCGGCUCACUGUGACCUCUGCCUCCUGGGCUCAAGCCAUCCUCCCACCUCAGCCCUUCAAGUAGCUGGGAUUACAGGUUGUAAAAACCCCAUCAGGGCAGUGACUGAGUGUGUGUCACUGUGUGCAGCAUCCCCAGAACCUAAUACCAUGACUGCAUGGAACAAGCACCCGGAUAUAGGAAUGAAGGACGCUACUGGUGGCCCCGUCCAGUUCUGAGAAAAUGCUGCCACAAGCUACAAGAGAAAUCUGCUUCUCUGAAGCCUUUAAAGAUUUGGUUACUUUUUCAAAAUGAAUAUUCUUUAAUACACAAUUUCAAUAAUUUCUGAAAUGAGGAUAAUGGCUGGGUUUUUUUUUUUUUUUUUUUUUUUGAGAUGGAGUCUCGCUGUCACCCAGGCUGGAGUGCAGUGGUGCAAUCUCAGCUCACUGCAACCUCUGCCCCCCGGGUUCAAGCAAUUCUCGUGCCUCAGCCUCCUGAGUAGCUGGGAUUACAGGUGCCCGCCACCACGACUGGCUAAUUUUUUUAUUUUUAGUAGAGACGGAGUUUCACCAUCCAUGUUGGCCAGGGAGGUCUUGAACUCCUGACCUCAAGUGAUCCGCCUAUGGCUGGCUUUUUAUAAUAGUUAAGAAUACUGCUCCUGGAGUCAGAGGGUCUGGUUCUCAUCCUCUGAUUUUGAUCACAACUUGCUGCAUGAUGAUGAUCAAGUGUUUGAACUUCCCAGUGCAUCCAUUUCCUCCUGGGUAAAGUGGGGCUAAUACCGUUAAAGCAAUGAUGUAAAAAUUAAAUGAGCUAACACAAGUGAGCGUUCAGAAUUGCAUCUAGUGCAUGGGAAUCCCUCAUAAGUAUUAGCUAUUAUUAUCAGUGUGCUAUCAGCUUGGAACUCAUGUAGUUCUGCUACAGAUUUGUAUUGUUCCUGAAAACAGAAUAUGAGACCAAAUUGAGGCCAGGUGUAAAGGCAUCUGGACCUUAUAUCCCUGCUGUCUAGUUUCUUCAAGAGGCCAGAGAGAACCUCCCUCAACUCCAGCCUACCAAGUGUCAUUUAUUUUAAUGCAGUGUGCCCCCAGUCUUAGGAAAUGGAAUUCUUCAUCUUCCAAGGCCUCUGGCUGAGACUGGAGACUUGUGCCUGCUCCACUGCUUGGCUGGAUUAGAUGCCCUAGAAAGAUACUUUUAACUCAGAGAAACUGUGACUCCAUGAAAGGGUCAGAUCCCACCAAAAGUCAUCCCAGUUCUCCAUCAGUUUCUCUCUCCACUCCACCUCCCCCAGCCCAUCCUCCGUCUGGGCUCCAGGGCUCUUUCCUUCUGUGUUCCCACAGGAUGGUGCCUGCUUUUACCCACCCUCUAGACUUUGCCCCAGUCACCUCAAACAGCCGAGGGUCCAAAUUUAGUAAUAGAAAUUCACUUCUCUAACCACUUUACAAAAACAUUAACUCAUAACUCACGGAAACCCAAUGAAGUCGGUGCUGGUGGCACCUCCAUUUUACAGAUGAUGAAACCGAGGAGAGGAGGGAGGUUGAAUAACUUGGCCCAAGGUCACUUGCUGAAAAGUGGCAGAGCUAGGAUUCACUGCCUCUGGUUCACUGCCUUGAAAGGAAGGAAAGUCUCCCCACUCCCACCACUGGGGAACUCUUCUUUAACUUUCUCCACAGUAUCAUUGGUCCGAUAAAUGAGAGGCAAGGAGAGAAACAAAGAUGGAUGUAUGUAUAAACUUAGGCAAGCAUGGAGAGCCAUGGUGAUGUGGUUAAGUGUUAGUUCUUGAGCUGAAUUGCACUGGUUAGUGUCCUGGAUUUUGAAUGUACUAACC